rnacentral:rRNA from 1 species
GCGGCGGACGGGUGAGUAAUGUCUGGGAAGCUGCCUGAUGGAGGGGGAUAACUACUGGAAACGGUAGCUAAUACCGCAUAAUGUCGCAAGACCAAAGAGGGGGACCUUCGGGCCUCUUGCCAUCGGAUGUGCCCAGAUGGGAUUAGCUUGUUGGUGGGGUAACGGCUCACCAAGGCGACGAUCCCUAGCUGGUCUGAGAGGAUGACCAGCCACACUGGAACUGAGACACGGUCCAGACUCCUACGGGAGGCAGCAGUGGGGAAUAUUGCACAAUGGGCGCAAGCCUGAUGCAGCCAUGCCGCGUGUAUGAAGAAGGCCUUCGGGUUGUAAAGUACUUUCAGCGGGGAGGAAGGGAGUAAAGUUAAUACCUUUGCUCAUUGACGUUACCCGCAGAAGAAGCACCGGCUAACUCCGUGCCAGCAGCCGCGGUAAUACGGAGGGUGCAAGCGUUAAUCGGAAUUACUGGGCGUAAAGCGCACGCAGGCGGUUUGUUAAGUCAGAUGUGAAAUCCCCGGGCUCAACCUGGGAACUGCAUCUGAUACUGGCAAGCUUGAGUCUCGUAGAGGGGGGUAGAAUUCCAGGUGUAGCGGUGAAAUGCGUAGAGAUCUGGAGGAAUACCGGUGGCGAAGGCGGCCCCCUGGACGAAGACUGACGCUCAGGUGCGAAAGCGUGGGGAGCAAACAGGAUUAGAUACCCUGGUAGUCCACGCCGUAAACGAUGUCGACUUGGAGGUUGUGCCCUUGAGGCGUGGCUUCCGGAGCUAACGCGUUAAGUCGACCGCCUGGGGAGUACGGCCGCAAGGUUAAAACUCAAAUGAAUUGACGGGGGCCCGCACAAGCGGUGGAGCAUGUGGUUUAAUUCGAUGCAACGCGAAGAACCUUACCUGGUCUUGACAUCCACGGAAGUUUUCAGAGAUGAGAAUGUGCCUUCGGGAACCGUGAGACAGGUGCUGCAUGGCUGUCGUCAGCUCGUGUUGUGAAAUGUUGGGUUAAGUCCCGCAACGAGCGCAACCCUUAUCCUUUGUUGCCAGCGGUCCGGCCGGGAACUCAAAGGAGACUGCCAGUGAUAAACUGGAGGAAGGUGGGGAUGACGUCAAGUCAUCAUGGCCCUUACGACCAGGGCUACACACGUGCUACAAUGGCGCAUACAAAGAGAAGCGACCUCGCGAGAGCAAGCGGACCUCAUAAAGUGCGUCGUAGUCCGGAUUGGAGUCUGCAACUCGACUCCAUGAAGUCGGAAUCGCUAGUAAUCGUGGAUCAGAAUGCCACGGUGAAUACGUUCCCGGGCCUUGUACACACCGCCCGUCACACCAUGGGAGUGGGUUGCAAAAGAAGUAGGUAGCUUAACCUUCGGGAGGGCGCUUACCACUUUGUGAUUCAUGACUGGGGUGAAGUCCUAACAAGGUA